AUCAACAAGAGUGGAGAACUCCUUGCGAAGAACUUGUCCCACUUGGACACUGUGCUUGGGGCUUUAGAUGUUCAAGAACACUCAUUGGGUGUCCUUGCCGUUCUGUUUGUGAAGUUUUCCAUGCCCAGUGUUCCUGACUUCGAGACACUGUUCUCACAGGUGCAGCUUUUCAUUAGUACUUGUAACGGCGAGCACAUUCGAUACGCAACAGAUACGUUCGCUGGGCUUUGCCAUCAGCUAACAAACGCACUCGUGGAGAGAAAACAGUGACAACAUAAGAUCCAAUGUGCUGCCAACUUUGAGAACUUAUCUGAAAGAGAUGUCAUUUCUGACAGCCCCUUCGAGGAAUUGGCAUCCUUAAGCAAGCCAUAGACAAGAUGCAGAUGAAUACAAACCAGCUGACCUCAGUACACGCCGAUCUCUGCCAGCUCUGUUUACUAGCGAAGUGCUUUAAACCUGCCCUGCCAUAUCUUGAUGUGGAUAUGAUGGAUAUCUGUAAAGAGAAUGGAGCCUAUGAUGCAAAACACUUUCUGUGCUACUACUAUUAUGGAGGGAUGAUCUAUACGGGGCUGAAGAACUUUGAAAGAGCACUGUAUUUUUAUGAGCAGGCCAUAACUACCCCAGCCAUGGCCGUCAGCCAUAUCAUGUUGGAGUCAUAUAAAAAGUAUAUUUUAGUGUCUUUGAUAUUACUUGGGAAAGUACAACAGCUGCCUAAAUACACCUCUCAAAUUGUGG
rnacentral:lncRNA from 1 species